rnacentral:rRNA from 1 species
UAUAACCAUCCUAAGGUAGCGAAAUUCCUUGUCGGGUAAGUUCCGACCUGCACGAAUGGCGUAACGACUUCCCUGCUGUCUCAACCACAGGCCCGGUGAAAUUGCACUACGAGUAAAGAUGCUCGUUACGCGCGGCAGGACGAAAAGACCCCGGGACCUUCACUAUAGCUUGGUAUUGGUGUUUGGUUCGGUUUGUGUAGGAUAGGUGGGAGACUUAGAAACUAUCACGCCAGUGAUGGUGGAG